GACGAACGCUGGCGGCGUGCCUAAUACAUGCAAGUAGAACGCUGAAGGAGGAGCUUGCUUCUCUGGAUGAGUUGCGAACGGGUGAGUAACGUGUAGGUAACCUGCCUGGUAGCGGGGGAUAACUAUUGGAAACGAUAGCUAAUACCGCAUAAGAGUAGAUGUUGCAUGACAUUUGCUUAAAAGGUGCAAUUGCAUCACUACCAGAUGGACCUGCGUUGUAUUAGCUAGUUGGUGGGGUAACGGCUCACCAAGGCGACGAUACAUAGCCGACCUGAGAGGGUGAUCGGCCACACUGGGACUGAGACACGGCCCAGACUCCUACGGGAGGCAGCAGUAGGGAAUCUUCGGCAAUGGACGGAAGUCUGACCGAGCAACGCCGCGUGAGUGAAGAAGGUUUUCGGAUCGUAAAGCUCUGUUGUAAGAGAAGAACGAGUGUGAGAGUGGAAAGUUCACACUGUGACGGUAUCUUACCAGAAAGGGACGGCUAACUACGUG
rnacentral:rRNA from 1 species